rnacentral:rRNA from 1 species
AAUAUUGGACAAUGGGCGAAAGCCUGAUCCAGCAAUGCCGCGUGAGUGAUGAAGGCCUUAGGGUUGUAAAGCUCUUUUACCAGGGAUGAUAAUGACAGUACCUGGAGAAUAAGCUCCGGCUAACUCCGUCCCAGCAGCCGCGGUAAUACGGAGGGAGCUAGCGUUGUUCGGAAAUACUGGGCGUAAAGCGCACGUAGGCGGCAUCGUAAGUCAGGGGUGAAAUCCCGGGGCUCAACCCCGGAACUGCCCUUGAAACUGCAGUGCUAGAAUCUUGGAGAGGCGAGUGGAAUUCCGAGUGUAGAGGUGAAAUUCGUAGAUAUUCGGAAGAACACCAGUGGCGAAGGCGACUACCUGGACGAUUACUGACGCUGAUGCACGAAAGCUAGGGGAGCAAAC